rnacentral:misc_RNA from 1 species
AAGUCGUAACAAGGUCUCCGUAGGUGAACCUGCGGGAGGGAUCAUUACAGCAAAUGAUGAAGGCGGGGCCUGGAAGGUCCUCUCGGGGCUUUACAGCCAUUUGCUUGAAUUAUUCCAUCCCUUGUUCUUUGCGUACUUCUUGUUUCCUUGGUGGGUUCGCCCACCACUAGGACAAACAUAAACCUUUUGUAAUUGCAAUCAGCGUCAGUAACAAAUUAAUAAUUACAA